ensembl:rRNA 5S_rRNA 5S ribosomal RNA
GUCUACGGCCAUACCACCCUGAACGUGCCAGAUCUCGUCUGAUCUCGGAAGCUAAGCAGGGUCGGGCCUGGUUAGUACUUGGAUGGGAAAACCACUUAAAAUAGAAAACAUACCAUGGAUA